rnacentral:tRNA from 1 species
UUAGAAAUCGUGAGGGUUCAAGUCCCUCUAUCCCCAAAAAACCCAUAG